CCUACGGGAGGCAGCAGUGAGGAAUAUUGGUCAAUGGGCGGAAGCCUGAACCAGCCAAGUAGCGUGCGGGAUGAAGGCCCUACGGGUCGUAAACCGCUUUUGCACGGGGAUAACACCCUCCACUUGUGGAGGUCUGCAGGUACCGUGCGAAUAAGGAUCGGCUAACUCCGUGCCAGCAGCCGCGGUAAUACGGAGGAUCCGAGCGUUAUCCGGAUUUAUUGGGUUUAAAGGGAGCGUAGAUGGGUUGUUAAGUCAGUUGUGAAAGUUUGCGGCUCAACCGUAAAAUUGCAAUUGAUACUGGCAGUCUUGAGUACAGUUGAGGUAAGCGGAAUUCGUGGUGUAGCGGUGAAAUGCUUAGAUAUCACGAAGAACCCCGAUUGCGAAGGCAGCUUACUAAACUGUGACUGACAUUGAUGCUCGAAAGUGUGGGUAUCAAACAGGAUUAGAUACCCGGGUAGUC
rnacentral:rRNA from 1 species